AUGCAAACAUUUGGAAUUGGAUUUAAAAGCCUUAAGGAGUGCAACCCCACCUUCUGGUUUCCUUCUUCAGUGCUUACUCAGUGGCACCUGCAUCCCUAUUUAUCAAAAAUGAUAGCAUUAACAAUGGUUGGUCCCCCAGCAGGAGAGCAGCCUGCUGCAGCAGUAGGAAGCUGUUUGAGGGACCCUGGUGAGCCAGCACAGUUUACAUUUCAGGCUGUUCCAAUUAGUGUUAAUGUCCUUUCCCCUGCCAUGUGUGGAAACUUACAGCCUUCGGCUUUCAGUCUCCUAGCCCUCUCCAAUGAGGAAAGCAGAAUGGAGGAUCCCAGAGAUGGCCAUGGACCUGUGACAUGUGAAGACUGAUAGCAGAGCUGGAGCACGUCGCCUGGCCUGGGGGUCAAGUCUGCGGGUGGAAACCUCCUCUGGAGGUGAUGCUUAAGAGGAACAGGGAGGAAACUGCACAGCAGACCAGGCUGAGCAGGAGCCAGGGCGAGAUGGAUGCAGGAACAGCCAUGGGUGAUGACCAGGGCAGCACUUGGAGAGUAACGCAAGUGGAUUGAAAGAAGGCUUUGCCCAAGGGCUGCUCAUCUGGAACAAGGGCCUAUGGGAUACGCUUCUCUUUGCUGCUGCUUUGUGGGGUGGUAGUGGGGAACCAACUGGCCAUUAGCACCUAUACGUAGGUGAAGCUAUGAGAAAUCUGCCAGCUCUCUGAGUUCCCUGUUCUUACCCUGAUGUUGCUGUGGUCACAGUCUGACUGCAUAUCAGUCUGACUUAAGUGAAUUAAUUAAGAAUUUUGCUCUCAAUGCCUUUACUCCUAUAUGGAAUAUCUUUUUUAUUUCCCAGCUGGAGAGGAGAGGUCUGCCUAAUUGAGCACCAUUCAGCACGCACGCAAUAUUCAGUUCUUCCAUAUACUGAUAAUUAAAACAAAACAAGCUACAUAGAUCUGAGUUACUAUUUUUUAUUUAUGAAAAUUGUACAUGAAAUGAUCUUCUUUGGAAGACAGGAGGAGUGAAUCAACAGAAUACGGCUCCUUCCCACCGCACCAGUGCAAUCCUUGUGGCACCCUGGUCAGUGAGCUCUUGGCUAGUUUAUUCCUAAAAGGAACUUGGCAGCUUCUUAAUUUUAUCCCGAAUGAAGACUGCUGUAUUGUCUAUGUUCUGCUUUGGAAAGGUUUCAUUGAGCCUUCACCAUCAACCUUUUUUUAAGCUAUCUGAAGAAGUUCCAGAGAAAUUUUUGUUAAUGAUCAUUCGGUGCUCAAUGUUUAGCAGAAAAGAUGCAGCUAAGUAUAUUUGCUAAACCAUAAAUAAAUUCCUUAGCUGAAUUCCUUUAUGCA
ensembl:lncRNA